rnacentral:lncRNA from 1 species
AUGGGAAAAGGGUUCAAUAAGGGUGUAGUCCUUCCCGGCGUUGACAGAGAGGCUUGCUGUGGUCUCACCACAGGAAGACUGGGGGAGGGGGAGACGAGAGAGACGGGAGAGGGAGGAGGAGACGAAAGAGACAGGGGAGAGGGAGGAGGAGACAGGGGAGACGGGAGAGGAAUGAGGAGACGAAGGAGACGGGAGAGGGAGGAGGAGACGAAGGAGACGGGAGAGGGAGGAGGAGACGAAAGAGACGGGAGAGGGAGGAGGAGACGAAAGAGACGGGAGAGGGAGGAGGAGACGAAAGAGACGGGAGAGGGAGGAGGAGACGAAAGAGACGGGAGAGGGAGGAGGAGACGAAAGAGACGGGAGAGGGAGGAGGAGACGAAAGAGACAGGGGAGAGGGAGGAGGAGACGAAAGAGACGGGAGAGGGAGGAGGAGACGAAAGAGACGGGAGAGGGAGGAGGAGACGAAAGAGACGGGAGAGGGAGGAGGAGACGAAAGAGACGGGAGGAGGAGACGAAAGAGACGGGGGAGAGGGAGGAGGAGACGAAGGAGACGGGAGAGGGAGGAGGAGACGAAGGAGACGGGAGAGGGAGGAGGAGACGAAAGAGACGGGAGAGGGAGGAGGAGACGAAAGAGACGGGAGAGGGAGGAGGAGACGAAAGAGACGGGAGAGGGAGGAGGAGACGAAAGAGACGGGAGAGGGAGGAGGAGACGAAAGAGACGGGAGAGGGAGGAGGAGACGAAAGAGACGGGAGAGGGAGGAGGAGACGAAAGAGACGGGAGAGGGAGGAGGAGACGAAAGAGACAGGGGAGAGGCAGGAGGAGACGAAAGAGACAGGGGAGAGGGAGGAGGAGACGAAAGAGACAGGGGAGAGGGAGGAGGAGACAGGGGAGAGGGAGGAGGAGACGAAAGAGACGGGAGAGGGAGGAGGAGACGAAAGAGACGGGAGAGGGAGGAGGAGACGAAAGAGACGGGAGAGGGAGGAGGAGACGAAAGAGACGGGAGGAGGAGACGAAAGAGACGGGGGAGAGGGAGGAGGAGACGAAGGAGACGGGAGAGGGAGGAGGAGACGAAGGAGACGGGAGAGGGAGGAGGAGACGAAAGAGACGGGAGAGGGAGGAGGAGACGGAAGAGACGGGAGAGGGAGGAGGAGACGAAAGAGACAGGGGAGAAGGAGGAGGAGACGAAAGAGACAGGGGAGAGGGAGGAGGAGACGAAGGAGACGGGAGAGGGAGGAGGAGACGAAAGAGACGGGAGAGGGAGGAGGAGACGAAAGAGACGGGAGAGGGAGGAGGAGACGAAAGAGACGGGAGAGGGAGGAGGAGACGAAAGAGACAGGGGAGAGGGAGGAGGAGACGAAAGAAACAGGGGCGAGGGAGGAGGAGACGAAAGAGACAGGGGAGAGGCAGGAGGAGACGAAAGAGACAGGGGAGAGGGAGGAGGAGACGAAAGAGACGGGAGAGGGAGGAGGAGAUGA